rnacentral:rRNA from 1 species
UACAGAGGGUGCGAACGUUGCUCGGAAUUACUGGGCGUAAAGCGCGUGUAGGCGGAGCGAUAAGUCGGAAGUGAAAUCCCCGGGCUCAACCCGGGAACUGCUUUCGAAACUGCCGUUCUCGAGUACCGGAGAGGGUGGCGGAAUUCCUGGUGUAGAGGUGAAAUUCGUAGAUAUCAGGAGGAACACCGGUGGCGAAGGCGGCCACCUGGACGGUCACUGACGCUGAGACGCGAAAGCGUGGGGAGCAAACAGG